CUCACUGUUGUCUGCUCAUCCUUCAACAUGAUGCAAUUCCAUCGGUCAUCUUACGAGCCCUGGAACAUCAAAAUUGGUAAGAGAUGGGCAAUGAAUAUUCUGAGCUAACCAAUAGGAGCGCGCGUUGCAGCCAACAUAAAAUGUACAAUUUUUAAUGAAAUACUUGCGUGGCAGUCUAGUGACGCUCGCCGAAACGUCACAACGUAAUGUGUCUUGUGUGUCGCUGUCUAUCCAUCGUUCUUCGUGAUAGUUUCAUCGGUUAUUCUGCAAGUCACUUAUAAAUACGAAAAAUUAUCUUGCCGCUGUCCAUCCGUCCUUCCACAUGCGGGAAUUUCAUCGAUCACUAUGCGAGUCUCUUGUGAGCAACAACGAGCGACAAACAUCAAAAAAUUGUGGCUGAAUAUCCAGAGAAUGCAGCGUAGUGUCUAUCGAAAAACAGCGGGUUGAAGCGGCACAGAUUGCGGGAGUCACCGGCGGCGGAAUGCCAU